rfam:Clostridium sp. HMP27 Clostridium-HMP27_contig_17, whole genome shotgun sequence.
UGUGUUAAGAAGAAACCAGCCGUUUCUCACCUUACAGCAUCGCUAGUAGGGUUAUAUGGAUAGCAAUUUUUAUUUUGUUGCAUAUAAAAGGACGGCAUUUGCCGUCCUUUUUUUAAUAC